CAGCACCUCAAGUGGUCAGGAUGAUUAUUGGGCCUAAAGCAUCCGUAGCCGGCUCUGUAAGUUUUCGGUUAAAUCUGUAUGCUCAACAUACAGGCUGCCGGGAAUACUGCAGCGCUAGGGAGUGGGAGAGGUAGACGGUACUCGGUAGGAAGGGGUAAAAUCCUUUGAUCUAUUGAUGACCACCUGUGGCGAAGGCGGUCUACCAGAACACGUCCGACGGUGAGGGAUGAAAGCUGGGGGAGCAAACCGGAUUAGAUACCCGCGUAGUCC
rnacentral:rRNA from 1 species